CUUUAUUUGUAUGGAUAAAUAAUACGACCUGCCCACUGAUAAAUAAUUGAAGGGCCGCAGUAAUUUGACUGUGCAAAGGUAGCAUAAUCAUUAGUUUUUUAAUUGGGGACUAGAAUGAAUGGUUAGACGAGAUAUACACUGUCUUAUUUUAAGAUAUAUAAUUUAAUUAUUAAGUAAGAAAGCUUAAAUAUGAUUAUGGGACGAGAAGACCCUAUAGAGUUUAAUAUAUCUAAUGGUUUAUAAAGGGUUGGGUAAAUUAUAGAAUUCUGUUGAUACAUUUUGUUGGGGUGAUAAAAAGAUAAAUGAAACUCUUUUUGUUGUAUACAUAUUGAUUAAUAGAUUAGUUGAUCCGUUUUUGAUGAUUAAAAGAUUAAAUUACC
rnacentral:rRNA from 1 species